UACGUAGGGUGCGAGCGUUGUCCGGAAUUAUUGGGCGUAAAGCGCUCGUAGGCGGUUUGUCGCGUCGACUGUGAAAACCUACAGCUUAACUGUGGGCUUGCAGUCGAUACGGGCAGACUUGAGUUCGGUAGGGGAGACUGGAAUUCCUGGUGUAGCGGUGAAAUGCGCAGAUAUCAGGAGGAACACCGGUGGCGAAGGCGGGGCUCUGGGCCGUAACUGACGCUGAGGAGCGAAAGCGUGGGGAGCAAACAGG
rnacentral:rRNA from 1 species